CUAUAUAUCUUGAUGGCGGCUCAAAUCCGCAUUCGGGAUUUGUAAAUGUGCAGAAGAACGGACGUAGCGUUUAUAUGUGUGCUGAUAAUUUAACUGCUGAGACCCAGGCUGUCAUGUGCAAAAUGCUGUUCAACAUCACCAGGGAUUAUACAUUAGUUGAUCAACCGUAUUUCAAGGCUGGGGUUGCGUCCGGUUCAGUUGUUGACAAUAUCCAGUGCACGGGUAUUGAGGACGAUUAUCAAAUGUGUCCAUCAUCGGACUGGUUUUCAAAUUCAAAUUGCAAGAAUCCAGCUUUUCUAAGAUGCAAUACACCUGUUCGUCUCCGAGAUGGAAGAAAUAUUUAUACAGGAAAUGUGGAGGUCUUCAUUAACAAGACAUGGUCAAACGUAUGUUUCGACCCUUCUCGCAACGCUAUGAAUGCAAAGAUGUUCUGCAGAAUGUUGGGUUAC